UUCACCCAACACGGACACACACAGCACCCCCAACUGAAAACAUGUUCCCGCGCCCCUGCUACAGACUUUAAAU